AGAGUUUGAUCCUGGCUCAGAUUGAACGCUGGCGGCAGGCCUAACACAUGCAUGUCGAGCGGAUGAAGAGAGCUUGCUCUCUGAUUCGGCGGCGGACGGGUGAGCAAUGCCUAGGAAUCUGCCUGGUAGUGGGGGACAACGUUUCGAAAGGAACGCUAAUACCGCAUACGUCCUGCGGGAGAAAGCAGGGGACCUUCGGGCCUUGCGCUAUCAGAUGAGCCUAGGUCGGAUUAGCUAGUUGGUGGGGUAAUUGCUCACCAAGGCGACGAUCCGUAACUGGUCUGAGAGGAUGAUCAGUCACACUGGAACUGAGACACGGUCCAGACUCCUACGGGAGGCAGCAGUGGGGAAUAUUGGACAAUGGGCGAAGGCCUGAUCCAGCCAUGCCGCGUGUGUGAAGAAAGCCUUCGGGUUGUAAAGCACUUUCAGCGAGGAAGAACGCCUUGGGAUUAAUACUCCCGAGGAAAGACAUCACUCGCAGAAGAAGCACCGGCUAACUCCGUGCCAGCAGCCGCGGUAAUACGGAGGGUGCAAGCGUUAAUCGGAAUUACUGAGCGUAAAGCGCGCGUAGGUGGCUAAGUCAGCCAGGUGUGAAAGCCCCGGGCUCAACCUGGGAACUGCAUUCAAAACUGACAAGCUAGAGUAUGGUAGAGGGUGGUGGAAUUUCCUGUGUAGCGGUGAAAUGCGUAGAGAUCGGGAGGAAUACCAGUGGCGAAGGCGGCCUUCUGGACUGACACUGACACUGAGGUGCGAAAGCGUGGGUAGCAAACAGGAUUAGAUACCCCGGUAGUCC
rnacentral:rRNA from 1 species